UUUUUUGAUGUGAGAGAAUUGAUUUGAAGCUGAAAAGGAUCGUAUUUGAAAUUCGAUCACUAGAGAAUAAGAGAAGAGAGACAGAGAGAAAUUAAAGGACGCAAUCACGUGAAAAUGCAAUGAAUAAUUAAGAGAAGUUGCGUCUCUUCCAUCUCUCUCUCAAUUUUGUGCUCUAUAUCGCCUAGGGUUUCCAUUGUUUUGGCU
rnacentral:misc_RNA from 1 species